ensembl:lncRNA
GCUGUUAUUCUAAAGGCUCCCUGACAAGCCCUCCUUUCUUGUUCCUAGGUGUGUGAAUGUGGAUAAUGUCAGCUCUACCUCCUCUGUGAAGGGAGAAUCGGGAAGAAAAUUCCAUAUAAUACCUAAGAAGAUCCAAAACAUUUUUAGAAAAUCUGGAGUUUAUGUGUCUUCUCGGGUAGACCCAAUUCUUGAAGUAUGGGAAGAAAAUACAUCUGCAACGGAUGAAAAAUAUAAAACAGAUAAUUUCUAUGCUGUGUCUUCUGAGCAUAGAAAUUCUAUUCCUAAGGCUACUGCUGAUCGUGAAGCUUCCACCUCUACUGCUGACAGCCUGGAUGCUGCCGAGCCUGACCCGACAAAUUCUACAAAUGCUACUGACUGUCUGGCUGCUCUUGAGCAUGAGCUGACUAAUUCCAACAACACUGCUGACUGUCUGGCUGACCUUGAGCCUGAUCCGACUAUUUCUACCAAUGCCGCUGACUUUCAGGCUGCUGUUGCACCAGAGCCAACUAUGUCCACCCACCCUGCUGACUGUCUGCCUGAUGUGGAACCAGAGCCAACUAUGUCCACCCACCCUGCUGACACUCUGGCUGCUCUUGAUCCUGAGCUGACUAAUUUCAACAUCACUGCUGACUGUCUGGCUGACCAUGAGCCUGAGCCAAACAUGUCCACCCACCCUGCUGACAGUCUGCCUGAUGUGGCACCAGAGCCAACUAUGUCCAAUCACCCUGCUGACACUCUGGCUGCUCUUGAGCCUGAACUGACUAAUUCCAACAACACUGCUGACUGUCUGGCUGACCUUGAGCCUGAUACGACGAUUUCUACCAAUGCCGCUGACUUUCAGGCUGCUGUUGCACCAGAGCCUGCUAUGUCCACCAACCCUGCUGACAGUAUGGCAGCUGUUGAGCCUGAGCCGACUAUGUCCACCCACCCUGCUGACAUUCUGACUGCUGAUGAGCCUGAACAUAAUAAUUCUACCAAAGCUGCUGACUGUCUGGCUGACCUUGAGCCUGAGCCAAAAAUGUCCACCCACCCUGCUGACAGUCUGCCUGAUGUGGAACCAGAGCCAACUAUGUCCACCCACCCUGCUGACACUUUGGCUGCUCUAGAGCCUGAGCUGACCAAUUUCAACAACACUGCUGACUGUCUGGCUGACCUUGAGCCUGAUCCGACUAUUUCUACCAAUGCCACUGACUUUCAGGCUGCUGUUGCACCAGAGCCAACUAUGUCCACCCACCCUGCUGACUGUCUGCCUGAUGUGGAACCAGAGCCAACUAUGUCCACCCACCCUGCUGACACUCUGGCUGCUCUUGAGCCUGAGCUGACUAAUUUCAACAACACUGCUGACUGUCUGGCUGACCCUGAGCCUGAUCCAACAAUUUCUACCAAUGCCGCAGACUGUCGGGCUGCUGUUGCACCAGAGCCCGCUAUGUCCACCAACCCUGCUGACAGUAUGGCAGCUGUUGAGCCUGAGCCGACUAUGUCCACCCACCCUGCUGACAUUAUGACUGCUGACGAUCCUGCACAUAAUACUUCUACCAAAGCUGCUGACUGUCUGGCUGACCUUGAGCCUGAGCCAAACAUGUCCACCCACCCUGCUGACAGUCUGCCUGAUGUGGAACCAGAGCCAACUAUGUCCAAUCACCCUGCUGACACACUGGCUGCUCUUGAGCCUGAGUCGACUAAAUCCUCCAAUGCUGCUGACUGUCUGGCCUAUGUUGAGCCAGAGCCAGCUAUGUCCACCCACCGUGCCGACAGUCUGGCUGCUCUUGAGCAUGAGCUGUCUCAUGCCAACAAAGAUGCUGACUGUCUGGCUUCUCUCAAGGCUGAGCUGAUUAAUUCCACCAAUGCUACUGAUUGUCUGGCUUCUGUUGGGACUGAGGCAACCAUGUCCACCCAGCCUACUGACAAUUUGGCAGCUGUUGAGCCUGAACAUAAUAAUUCCACCAAUACUGCUGACGGUAAGGACUCUGUUGAACAAGAGCCAGCUAAGCCCACCUACCGUGCCGACAGUCUGGCUGCUCUUGAGCAUGAGCUGACUAAUUCCAACAACACUGCUGACUGUCUGGCUUCUCAGAAGGCUGAGUCAAUUGAUUCUACCAAUGCUACUGAUUGUUUGGCUUCUGUUGGGACUGAGACAACUAUGUCCACCCACCCUGCUGACAAUAUGGCUACUGAUGAGCUUGAGCCUACACAUUCCAC